rnacentral:lncRNA from 1 species
UAUAAUGAAUAAAUAAAAAAUAAAUUUAUAAGAGAAAUAAAAAUAUAGUAAUAUAAAUAUUUUAUAAUUAUUGAGAAUAGAACAGUCAACAAUGACACUGUAUGCUAUUUUUGUUGACAAUGUAUGAAGAGCUGCAGAAGGAGGCCGAAGGAUUCCGAGCAGCCAGCGAGAGAAAAAAAAAAGGAAGAAAAAAAAAAAUCAUGAAUGAAAAGAUUCAAAACAGCUAAGUAGAUGAGGUGAGGGGAGAGGGAGAGCCACCGCUAUCAAUUUGGAAUAUAAAGAAAAAUAAGAAAUGGAAGGAAGAGAGAGAGAGAGAGAGAGAGAGAGAGAGAAUUGAAGGAUGUGAAUUUUUUAAAAAAUGAGAAUUUUACUAAAAUAAAAAAAUAAAAAAAAAUUUAAAAUAAAUAGUAAAUUCUACCCUCCUUUAAUAAAGGUGAUACAUUCACGUUAGAUUAGACAAUAAAAAAUUAUGUAUAAACAUAUGAAUAAGACGGCACGGAUUUAUUAAACUUGCCGAUUUUAUUUUUAGACUUUGAACACUUUCAAACAAGUUAAUAUAAAUAUCUAUGUAUAAAAUAUUUUGUUUCUUAAUCACAAAAAAUCUAAAAAAAACCUUGAGAAAGCAAUCAUUUCGGCCACUCCUCGUCUGAAAAAUAUCGCGAAGAGAGGUUGGUCUGGUGAUACGACAUGUAUGCUAUGCAUGUCACACGAUGAGACCGUGAACCAUCUACUCGCACAAUGUGUCUUCACUAAGUUUAUCUUGGUAAUGGGUGUGGAGAAUAUUCAAGCUACGGAGAUGGGAGACGAUGUUAUUCAUAUCUGGGAUAGGUGGAGGGUGAAGAAAAGAUGGCAAGAUACGAGGCAUAGCCUCCCUGAAUUGGCUGCGUGUUGGUGGACUGUGUGGAAGGCUAGGAACGAUAUGAUCUUUCGAAACAUCCAACUAGAUCCCCUCGUGGCGGUGUACAGAUUUAAGGAGCUGCUGAAAUCUUGGGAGCUGUGUGCAUAAACUACUAGACGUCCUACCAUAGCGGUUUUUUUAUUUUUAUUUUUAUUUUAUUAUUAUUAUUAUUAUUAUUAUUAGUAUUAUUUUUAUUUUUAUUUUUAUUUUAUUUUCGCGCCCCUCCUUCGAGGCCCUGGCUGCCUCAUCCAUGUAGCCUAAUUCAUAUUUUCAAUGAAUGAAGCAGGUAGCGUGCUACCUUUUCUCAAAAAAAACUUCAUUCU